CCAGACUCCUACGGGAGGCAGCAGUGAGGAAUAUUGGUCAAUGGGCGUAAGCCUGAACCAGCCAAGUCGCGUGAGGGACGACGGCCCUACGGGUUGUAAACCUCUUUUGCCGGGGGACAAACGGCGGCACGCGUGCCGUCCUGAGGGUACCCGGAGAAAAAGCAUCGGCUAACUCCGUGCCAGCAGCCGCGGUAAUACGUAGGGAGCGAGCGUUGUCCGGAAUUACUGGGCGUAAAGGGCGCGUAGGCGGGAACUUAAGUUAGAUGUGAAAACUCCGGGCUUAACCUGGAGACUGCAUUUAAAACUGGGUUUCUUGAGGGCAGGAGAGGAAAGUGGAAUUCCUAGUGUAGCGGUGAAAUGCGUAGAUAUUAGGAGGAACACCAGUGGCGAAGGCGACUUUCUGGACUGUACCUGACGCUGAGGCGCGAAAGCAUGGGGAGCGAACAGGAUUAGAUACCCGGGUACGC
rnacentral:rRNA from 1 species